rnacentral:misc_RNA from 1 species
GAUGAAGAACGUAGCGAAAUGCGAUAAGUAGUGUGAAUUGCAGAAUUCAGUGAAUCAUCGAAUCUUUGAACGCACAUUGCGCCCCUUGGUAUUCCAUGGGGCAUGCCUGUUCGAGCGUCAUUUGUACCUUCAAGCUUCGCUUGGUGUUGGGUGUUUGUCUCGCCUUUGCGUGUAGACUCGCCUUAAAAUAAUUGGCAGCCGGCGUAUUGAUUUCGGAGCACAGUACAUCUCGCGCUUUGCACUCAUAACGACAGCGUCCAAAAGUACAUUUUACACUCUUGACCUCGGAUCAGGCAGGGAUACCCGCUGAACUUAAGCAUAUCAAUAAGCGGAGGA